UACGUAGGGGCCUAGCGUUGUCCGGAAUUAUUGGGCGUAAAGAGCUCGUAGGCGGUUUGGUAAGUCUGGUGUGAAAUCUCCACGCCCAACGUGGAGGGGCCACCCGAUACUGCCAUGACUGGAGUCCGGUAGAGGAGUGUGGAAUUCCCGGUGUAGCGGUGAAAUGCGCAGAUAUCGGGGAGGAACACCCGUAGCGAAGGCGGCACUCUGGGCCGGUACUGACGCUGAGGAGCGAAAGCGUGGGGAGCAAACAGG
rnacentral:rRNA from 1 species